ACACACACACACACAUCAUAUACAUUUAUUAUAUAUUAUAUUAUUAUUAUAUUAAUACAUCUGCCAAAAUAUACAAACACAUUGCAGGUCUUAGCGAUGACAAAUCCAGAUUCAGUCAGCAAAUCUCCCAAAAUAUCAUUGGACUCACGGCCAGACUGCUCACAACUCAAUCAAUCAAUCAAAUGUAUUUAUAUAGCCCUUCGUACAUCAGCUGAUAUCUGCUCACAACUGUACUCAUUGGCCCGGAGUCAGACAGAUUCACUUGAGUUACCUCCUGUAGUACAGGUAUAACAGGUGGGUUCCUCUCUGUCUAACCUCCUGUAGUACAGGUAUAACAGGUGGGUUCCUCUGUCUAACCUCCUGUAGUACAGGUGGGUUCCUCUGUCUAACCUCCUGUAGUACAGGUGGGUUCCUCUGUCUAACCUCCUGUAGUACAGGUGGGUUCCUCUGUCUAACCUCCUGUAGUACAGGUGGGUUCCUCUGUCUAACCUCCUGUAGUACAGGUGGGUUCCUCUGUCUAACCUCCUGUAGUACAGGUAUAACAGGUGGGUUC